rnacentral:rRNA from 1 species
GAUGAACGCUGGCGGCGUGCUUAACACAUGCAAGUCGAGCGAAGCAUAUAAGCGGAAGUUUUCGGAUGGAAGCAGAUAUGACUGAGCGGCGGACGGGUGAGUAACGCGUGGGUAACCUGCCUCAUACAGGGGGAUAACAGUUAGAAAUGACUGCUAAUACCGCAUAAGCGCACAGGACCGCAUGGUCAAGUGUGAAAAACUCCGGUGGUAUGAGAUGGACCCGCGUCUGAUUAGCUGGUUGGUGAGGUAACGGCCCACCAAGGCGACGAUCAGUAGCCGACCUGAGAGGGUGGCCGGCCACAUUGGGACUGAGACACGGCCCAA